rnacentral:rRNA from 1 species
GACGUAGGGGGCAAGCGUUGUCCGGAAUCAUUGGGCGUAAAGCGCUCGUAGGCGGAUCAGUAAGUCUGUGAAGAAAGACCCGGGCUCAACUCGGGGAACGGCAUGGAUACUAUUGGUCUUGAGGUAAUCAGAGGAUGAUGGAAUUCCCGGUGUAGCGGUGAAAUGCGUAGAUAUCGGGAGGAAUACCAGUGGCGAAGGCGGUUAGCUGGCUUGUAACUGACGCUGAGGCGCGAAGGCUAGGGUAGCAAACAGG